UCUUUAUUAGUGCUGAAUCAGUUCCAGCUCCAGAAGAGCUCAUCAUUCCUCAAGCAAUACUAGAAAACUCAAUUAAAGUUGCCAGUGAACCUCCUACGGGCAUGCUAGCUAAUUUACAUGCUGCACUCUACAAUUUUGACCAGGUUCAUGAAGCUACUGCUCAAUAUUACGAGGGGAGUGUGGACUCCAGCCCCACCAUAUCCAUUGCUCAGUGUACUAGGACUACUAAGCAUCAGUGAAACCCUUCCUGCACAUAUAGGAGCUGGAGGGAUGCUCCUGUGCAGCUGCUGAAGACAGACCAAAUCAGCCAAGAUUCCAUGGGAAGACUUGUGUUAUCUCUUUGGCGAGAUUAUG
rnacentral:lncRNA from 1 species